rnacentral:tRNA from 1 species
UGUAUUUUAGUGUAAAGGCACAUGAAUUUUUGAUUUUCAUAGUAUAGGGUCAAACCCUUUAAAUAUAA